rnacentral:tRNA from 1 species
UGCGGGGUCGUCUAACGGUAGGACACGAGAAUUUGGAUCUCGGAAUCUAGGUUCGAAUCCUAGCCCCGCAGCCA